rnacentral:rRNA from 1 species
UACGUAGGGUGCGAGCGUUAAUCGGAAUUACUGGGCGUAAAGCGUGCGCAGGCGGUUUGUUAAGACAGAUGUGAAAUCCCCGGGCUCAACCUGGGAACUGCAUCCAAAACUGGCAAGCUAGAGUAUGGUAGAGGGUGGUGGAAUUUCCUGUGUAGCGGUGAAAUGCGUAGAUAUAGGAAGGAACACCAGUGGCGAAGGCGACCACCUGGACUGAUACUGACACUGAGGUGCGAAAGCGUGGGGAGCAAACAGG